CAAAGCAAAGCAGAGGUCAAGCAAGUUACAGCAAGUUUAUCCAAUUGCCUCGUUUCUAGCAAUACCCACCUCCCUUUUGUUUAUUUAUUAAUUAUUAAAUUCUUCUGUUUCAUCAAAUUUUGACAAAAAGUAAAAGAAAAAAGAAGAAAGAUGAUGAGAAGAAGAGAAGAAGAAGAGCAAUCUCGAGCUUUAUGCGAGCUCUCUGCUCUCGUUUUCAACCUCAUUCGAUCACCUCCAACGCCGUUAACUUUCUCCGAUCAUGUUCCGGGGCCGCCGUCACGGCGUUCGCGGCAGCCUCAGAUCUCGCCGGCGGGGUUUGCCUCGCUGCUUCUCGGAAUAUCACUGGCUUUGAUGCUUUGUGGAUCGGUGACGUUCUUCAUAGGGUUCAUGUUGAUGCCGUGGGUUCUGGGAUUGGUGAUGGUCCUCUACGUCGCCGGAAUCGUCUCCUCUAUCUCCGUCUUGGGCCGUUCCAUUCUCUGUUACGCCACCGCGCCACCGUCGCCGCGUACGGGUAUUCCCGGUUAGAUAAUUAUUAUUCAAAUUUCUGGAUUUCGAAGAUGAUAUUUGGUUUUUGUUUUUGUAUUUUCUUGUAAAUGCAAAGUUUUUAUUUUGUAUUUGGCAGAACUUAAUUUAAAUUAUUAAGCUUAAUUAAAAUUUGGGUUUGAAUUAAUUUUGAUUAAAGAUUUUAUGUUGAAAAUAUAUUAUAGUGAAAAGAAUUAAUUCUGAAUAGUUUUCAAACGGAGACUGAAACAGAGUUGCAGUGUUUAGUUUUAGUGAAACAAAAUUUAAUGAUAACGUUUUUCACUGUCAGGAAACGGAAAAUUUUGUACAUAGCUUAUAGAUGUUUGUCUUUUUCCUAGGACUAGUAUUUGAUUUAAAAUUUCGUAAAAUCAAUAUUAAUGGAAUUGAUUUUAAACUAUAGAGAACAUGAUUGUCUAAAUUAAUUUUGUGUUGUAAUGAAUGUUUUAUUAAAAUUAAUGUUCUAACUUCAUAAUAAUAAACAUGACUAAGUUUCAUUAUGCUUUCUUAGAAAGCUAGUUACAUGGAUGGUUGGUAUCAAAACCACAGCAAUUGUAGAAUUCUCCAUAACCUUACAUUUUAGGGCAGGGGUCUCUGUUGAACAUGAAAAGAAAGGCUAUGCAUAUUAGUUUUGUCUUAAAAGUAUUUCGAUUUAGAACAAAAAUUGAGAAAACUGUAUCCAUUUUCUUUUCUGGAUAUUCUUAUUGGGAAAUCUUUGUUAAUUUGGUAUGCAAUUUAUGAGAAGAUUGCAAGAUAUCUGGGUGAGAUGUUCAGAACAGGUUCAAUGGGGUGCAUUUGUUAAAAUCAACCUAGCUAAUUGGGUAAAUUGUGCCACGCUUACAGUAAUAUUUUACUUGUCUUUUUAAUUUACUCUUUUUUAUGUCCAUUAAUUGGUUUUGAUUCAUAGCCUACAUAAACUGCAGCUCAUCGCUUCCACUUUGAAAAACUAGGCUUAAAUAUCAUGUUUUGGUCGUAAAGUUUUGAACUCACCCUUUGUUCUGGUUUAUCUACCUGAUGGGACAUUUAUCUUCAUUUUGGAGUGGAAGCUUUUGUGAAGUGACAAAUGGAGAGUGAAACUGAGGAGUACCAUAGUGGGUUUUGUGCUGCCUCACGCAACCUAUUGAACAUUCAAGUUACUGAAGAUUGCAGAGCUUGUCCUUUCAUUAGAUGCAGAAUCAUGGAUAAUGGGCUCUUAAAUUACUCAACUUUGGGGAUAUGGCUUCUCUGUGCAUUAGAAACAGCCAAGUAAAAUUCUGAAGGGUAUUGAAGGGUUGUUCCCAGAUUCCUUCUUUCGUUAUCAAUUACUUUAUUUAACUUAAUUUGCACCCUCUUAAAUUCUUAAGCUUAUGCUGUUGAAUUUCCUUUGGUUCAGUUCUAAACUUGGCAUAUAUUAUGUAGAAAGAGAAGGAAAACAUGAUUUGACUCCUGAAACGGGGGUUGUAUCGGAUUAAGAAGAAUAUUUUGGAAUCUAAUGGUUGCUGGGUCUGUAGCAUUAGUAGCUGAUAUUAUUUAUUUGCAUAUUGUUUUGAUGUUGGAUUAUUGUGCACUCUUGUGACAUGCUUAAAGAAAGGUUCGAAUAUUUUAAACAUUUCCUAUGCAACUUCAAAAUUUGAUUGAUGGAGUAAAGAAAGACAUUUCUUGGCAUUUAAAAGUGAUAGAAUCUUCACUUGGUUUCUUAAAAUGUAUAUUUUUGUUUAGAUGCUUUGUUUAUCUGAAUUCAAACACCAUCUAUUCCUUGUGAAAUUUUCAACUUUAAAUAAAUUAAUUAUUAAACUAGUGUUUAAAGGUUAUCAACUUGCAACAAAAGCUGAUAGGCUCCUUUAAAUUUUUCAAGUUGUAAAAAGGAAAGAACUCUCACUUUGAUAAUUACUAUAUGCGUUAUGAUAUUAAUUUCUUAAAAAAAUUAUCAUGAUAUUGCCUUUUAAGUACAAAAAGCAUUACCAUACUAACAAAUUUUUCGAGUAUGUAAAACUUACAAAUGAAAAAAAUGGAUGACUUCAUCAUCAACAAUAAAUUAUACUAAAUGAAAAUAAAUUAAUUUUUUAAUUAGUUAAAGUUGUUUAAAUUAAAUCAAGACAUGUCGUCUCUAUUCAUAUGGUAUGUCAAAAUUUAAAAUAAAAUUUUAAGAUAAAUGCGAUAUACAUAUAUUUUUAGGAGAACAAAUUGAGAAUUUUUACUAUAAGAAAUUAAGAAUUAAAGCAAAGUGACCACUUUAUUAUAGGGAAAGAAAGAAAUAUCAAGAAUAGAUAGAUUCAAUUUAUUAUUAUAAAAAAAAAACUAUAUUUAAAUUUGUUAGGUUUAGUUGAAGUAAUUUUUAAAAAUAAACAUUUAUCUUGAUUAAAUUUUAAAAAGCCUUAAAAAUUAAGUAAUUUUUUAUUUAAAUGAAAUUAAACACGCCAUAAAUAUAGGGUACCAGCAUUUGAAUUAAUGCUUAUUUUUAGUGCAAAUUUGAUAUGUCCAACUACUAGAAUAAAGUGCUAGAUUUAGUGAGCAUUUGAUUUUUUUUAUUGGAAUAGAAUCUAAUGGUUAACGAACGUUUAACCUAACAAAACCAAUCAUUCUUCAUUCCAUCCACAAUCAUAACCUAACCAAAAAAAAAAUCAUAAUCCUUUAUAAGAACAAGUGUAAUAAUUUUUCAACGAGUAACUAAAGAAAGGCUAAUUGUUAGUUAUAGUUAGAAUAAAAAAUGUGGCGUUUGUAUUACAUAAUGACCCUUUUAUGUUCUUAAUUUAGAUAAAAAGUAUUUGGGUUAGUCUUCUAUGUAGUAACAAAAAUAGCCCUUAAACAACAGGGUUUUUAAUUAAUUUCAAGGGUCAAGUGCGAGAAUCCAGUUAUAGUAAAUCAAAUUAAAAUCACUACUCCCACUAUGGUAGAAACAAAAAAGAGACAACACCAAACGUUGUUCCUUUUUCUUCUUUGUUUUUAACUACACUCAAAAGUACGAGGAGAAAACAAAUAGCAUAUGUAAACAUAAAUUGAUCCAUCCGCAAUUAAUUUAAUUAAAGAAAACAAUAUCAAAACAUAAAACAUCAACAACAUAGGAUAUGAGGUUGUGCAUGAAUCCAUUCAACCACUCUAUCCAAUCCAAGUGCUCCUAUGCAAGAAUCUCAAAGGGCAGAGAGAAGUAGAAUUAAAAGAAGAAGAACAUGUAUAUAAAUUAAAACCUUAAUAAAAGAAUAGAAUAAAGUAGAGGGGUUGAUUAGCCAGU